rnacentral:rRNA from 1 species
UACGGGGGGGGCAAGCGUUGUUCGGAAUUACUGGGCGUAAAGGGCUCGUAGGCGGCCCUCUCGGUCGGAUGUGAAAUCCCCAGGCUUAACCUGGGAAUGGCAUCCGAUACUGGAGGGCUUGAAUUCGGGAGAGGGAUGCAGAAUUCCAGGUGUAGCGGUGAAAUGCGUAGAUAUCUGGAGGAACACCGGUGGCGAAGGCGGCAUCCUGGACCGAGAUUGACGCUGAGGCGCGAAAGCCAGGGGAGCAAACGGG